rnacentral:rRNA from 1 species
UCGCUACUACCGAUUGAAUGGCUUAGUGAGGCCUCUGGAUUGGGACUUAUGCCGCAAGGCACGGGUCAUGAGAAAUUGGUCAAACUUGGUCAUUUAGAGGAAGUAA